rnacentral:misc_RNA from 1 species
ACAAAGAUUCCUGGGUAGAGAAGGUACUUUCUGCUCAUAACUAUUUGUUAAUUAUAAUGUUUCAUUUUGUUGUGGAGUCUUUUUGCGAUCAUUUCCUUUUUCUCAUUCUUUCCUUGUCGCUGGGCCUGGCUCGGAUGGAUGGAUGAUUUGGGUGCUCUUGAUAUGUUAUUGUUUCAUUUGUGCUGAAAGAAGGGUCUCCAAAUCAUUUUCCUCCUUAAAUCCAGUAGGUUUUUCCUUUUAAAAUUACAUAUCCAAUUAGUUUGU